rnacentral:tRNA from 1 species
GCUUUGAUAGUUUAAAAAAAACACUGGUCUUGUAAACCGGCAAUGAGGGCCUCCCUCUCAAACCA